rnacentral:lncRNA from 1 species
GCAGGGCCGAGCUGGGCUACAGUGUGUCUGUCUUGAGCUGCAGAAACUUGACUCUUUAACUGGGACAGACAGUGCUGUCAAGACAAAGCUUCCAAGGAUACAGCCUCUCCAGCACCUUAAAUUUAUCCAACAGACUUCUGCCAGUCUGUCUAAAAUAACAGAGAAGUAGAGGUGAUUCCUGCUCUUCCUCUUUGAACUUGGGCCAGCCUUGUGAUUUGCCUUGACCAACUGGACAUGGAGGAAGUGAUACUGUGCCGGUGCUUAGCCCGGCCUUUUAGAGGCCUGGCAUCUUCAGCUCUCUCUCAGGAGAAUACUUGUACCUGGAUCUUCACUAGGGGUAAGUCCUUGUUCUCGAUUUUAAACAUUUAUUUAGCCAACUAAGUGCUCUAUUAAUUCUAGUUGAAGGGGAGAUGCAGAGACAGUGUUCUAGUUGCUAAUGCUGUGUGAGAAAGCACCCCAGAAGGUCGUAGGUGAAACAACUAUCUUAAGAUGCUGGCUGAUCGGGGCUGGGGCAUUCAGAAGGGCCAAAGCAAGAGUGGCUUGUCCCUGCUCUAUGGUUCUUGGAUAACUCAAAGGGCUGGGGGCUGAGAGAGUGGAGGAAGGAGGACACACUUCCAGAUGGCUUGCUUGUUCAUGCACGUGGUUAUGCACCGGGCAGGAACAGGGACAGCCAGAGGGCCAAGCUCAAACUGACAGCUAAAGAGCCCAGAGGGGCAGUCCUUGGGGGAGGCGGUGCCCACUGCCUGCCUUAUAGACCGUAUCCCUACCAUCACCUUGACUUACUUUCCGCUAUAUGUUAUUGGAGGGAGCAGUCCCUAGCCGUCCUAGAUUCAAAUGAGGGGUAUAGACCUCACCUCCCAAGGUGGAGUCAGUAACAGGGAACUGUGGGCCACAUUUAAAACCAUGACAGGCUAGUGAAUGGCUUUCUGGGAGAUUUAUGGGUGAAGGGAGGAGGAGAGUCUUGAAGAAGCCCAGAUUCAGUCAUUCUAAGCGUUUGUCACAAAUGGAUCUAUCAUCUGGGUUUCAAAUACAGCUCUCAGAUGACUGCUCUUCAAGAGGCUGGGCACAGUGGCUUAUACCUAUAAUCCUAGCACUUUUAGAGGCUAAGGCGGAUGGAUCAGCUGAGGUCAGGAGUUCGAGACCAGCCUGGCAAAAACGGUGAAACCCCAUCUCUACUACAAAUACAAAAAUUAGCUGGGUGUGGUGGUGCACACCUGUAAUCCCAGCUAUUUGGGAGGCUGAGGCAGGAGAAUUGCUUGAACCCAGGAGACAGAGGUUGCAGUCAGCAGAGAUUACCACCACUGCAUUCCAGCCUGGGUGACAGAGUGAGACUCCAUCUCAAAAAAAUGAAACAAAAAACAAAACAAACAAACAAACAAAAAACAAAGACUGCCUUGUGUUUCCUUGCAGGCAGCCAGGGCAGAAUGCGGUGUUCUCAAGACUGCCAUGCUGGCUCAUCCAUACCUUGUUGGACUUGAUAAGUAUCGUAACCUAAUGAAGGAUGCCAUUCUGUGCUCUGCAAGGCCUGGGGGAGCCCCAGUGGGAAGGGAUCCAGAUGGUGCUGGGCCUGGGCCAAAAGUGAAAUGGGGGAGGACGGGUCCUUUCUCUCCUUUGUCCCUAACCUCCCCACUUCCUACUGCUGUCUGACUCAGAACCCUCAUGAAAAACCCAACUUUUUACACUGAUAUUUCCCAGAGGCCUAAUUGUGCAACAAGAAAUAAAAACACAAUUAGGGAACUGAGGUCCAGCAGGAAAUUCAUGUUACAUAAAUAAGACCUGGAGUGCAUAGGGGAGUGCCCCAGCUCUCAGCCUUGUUAGUAUUGAAGGCUCCGAGCACACAGAUCUGGGAUCCUCUGAUUUGGUGGAUAACCCUUGUGAACAAUAAUUCUCUGAAAAGGUAUUUGGAGGAAAGAGACUUUAUUCCUGUAAACAGUUUUCAAACUAGGGGAAUGCAGCUUUCAGUGUAAAAUGAAGGUGCUUUCCAGACAACAAAGGAGGGGCUGGGCUUUUAUAGAGAAAGUUCCUGCCCUGUUCCCACUCAGGUCCACUUAUGCAAAUAAAGGAUUCAAACUUGCUUAAUCUGAUUGGUUGAUGCUUGCUGAGUUCUGAUUUGUUGACACAGGUCAUAGUCUAUUGGUUGGUUCCGGCAACAUAAACAAGAACAGGAAGCUAUGAAAGUCCCAAAGUUAAGCAGAUGUGGGUUUUCUGGGAACUCAAAAACAUGUGUGACUUCUAGUCAGCAAGUUGCCGCUUGGCUCUAAAUUGAAUUUAGGCCCUGUUAGCCAGAGUGUGAACCUUGAGAGAGCCGGCCUUUCAAGGUUCACACUCUUCACAUGGGCUGGAGAGAUUCCUAUCAUAACUGAUUUAUCCAUUCACCCAUUGACAGGCACUUGGAUUGCUUCCACCUUUAGGGUGUUGUGGACAACAUCAACACUGCUACAAACAUGGGUGGACAAAAGGCUAGUUCUCCUCAACCAUGGUGUAUGUAGCUGGAGGGAAAAUGCCAAAAGCUGCAUUAUGAGAAACAGUAAAGUCAAAACUGGAAAGAUGGAUCAAAGCGUGAUGUCUCCCUGAAGCCCCUCCUACUAGGCUUGAGGUGAAGGAGAAGCACAGGAAGAAAAGUGCCUCAGUGCUCCAACAACUUUUUCCAAAGAAGCCCUCUUUCUCAUUUCCAACUUUAAACCUUUUAAAACUUUGAUUGGCAUAGAGCUAAGGGUUGGAGAACAUUGUCACUUCCCUCCUUUGCAAGUCUGUGUGGAUAGUUGUAUGUUAUCUCCAAAGGUGGCCACCAUCAUUUCCUUCUCUCCCUAUAUGUGAUUUCCUUCUCUAUUGGCUCCAUUCAUCAAGAAGUAGAGGCGAUUCCUGCUCUUCCUCUUUGAACUUGGGCCAGUCCUGUGAUUUGCCUUGACCAAUUGGACAUGGAGGAAGUGAUACUGUGCCAGUGCUUAGCCUGGCCUUUGAGAGGCCUGGCAUCUUCAGCUCUCUCUCAGGAGAGAAUGCAGCAGGCAUGUAAGAAGGCUGAUGAAUCAGACCACCAUAUUAUGAGGAAGCCCAAGCUAGCCACAUGGAAAUGGCACACAAAGGAAAGCUGAGGAACGAAACCAACAGAAGCAUCAGGUCCCCAGCCAUAUGACCCAGUUAAGCCACCUUAGCUAUGUGGUAUUCCAGGUAAGGUUCCCUGCUAUGUGGUAUUCCAGGUAAGGUCCCAGAAUUUAGUCAUGGAGGUGAGCCAUUCCCUCUGUGCCUUGUACAAAUUUCUGAGCCAAAUAAUUUUGAGAAAAUAAAAGACCUAUUUUAUACUGUG